rnacentral:rRNA from 1 species
GACGAACGCUGGCGGCGUGCUUAACACAUGCAAGUCGAACGGAAAGGCCCUUCGGGGUACUCGAGUGGCGAACGGGUGAGUAACACGUGGGUGAUCUGCCCUGCACUUUGGGAUAAGCCUGGGAAACUGGGUCUAAUACCGAAUAGGACCACGCGCUUCAUGGUGUGUGGUGGAAAGCUUUUGCGGUGUGGGAUGGGCCCGCGGCCUAUCAGCUUGUUGGUGGGGUAAUGGCCUACCAAGGCGACGACGGGUAGCCGGCCUGAGAGGGUGACCGGCCACACUGGGACUGAGAUACGGCCCAGACUCCUACGGGAGGCAGCAGUGGGGAAUAUUGCACAAUGGGCGCAAGCCUGAUGCAGCGACGCCGCGUGAGGGAUGACGGCCUUCGGGUUGUAAACCUCUUUCAAUAGGGACGAAGCGCAAGUGACGGUACCUAUAGAAGAAGCACCGGCCAACUACGUGCCAGCAGCCGCGGUAAUACGUAGGGUGCGAGCGUUGUCCGGAAUUACUGGGCGUAAAGAGCUCGUAGGUGGUUUGUCGCGUUGUUCGUGAAAACUCACAGCUUAACUGUGGGCGUGCGGGCGAUACGGGCAGACUAGAGUACUGCAGGGGAGACUGGAAUUCCUGGUGUAGCGGUGGAAUGCGCAGAUAUCAGGAGGAACACCGGUGGCGAAGGCGGGUCUCUGGGCAGUAACUGACGCUGAGGAGCGAAAGCGUGGGGAGCGAACAGGAUUAGAUACCCUGGUAGUCCACGCCGUAAACGGUGGGUACUAGGUGUGGGUUCCUUCCUUGGGAUCCGUGCCGUAGCUAACGCAUUAAGUACCCCGCCUGGGGAGUACGGCCGCAAGGCUAAAACUCAAAGGAAUUGACGGGGGCCCGCACAAGCGGCGGAGCAUGUGGAUUAAUUCGAUGCAACGCGAAGAACCUUACCUGGGUUUGACAUGCACAGGACGCCGGCAGAGAUGUCGGUUCCCUUGUGGCCUGUGUGCAGGUGGUGCAUGGCUGUCGUCAGCUCGUGUCGUGAGAUGUUGGGUUAAGUCCCGCAACGAGCGCAACCCUUGUCCUAUGUUGCCAGCGGGUUAUGCCGGGGACUCGUAGGAGACUGCCGGGGUCAACUCGGAGGAAGGUGGGGAUGACGUCAAGUCAUCAUGCCCCUUAUGUCCAGGGCUUCACACAUGCUACAAUGGCCGGUACAAAGGGCUGCGAUGCCGUGAGGUGGAGCGAAUCCUUUCAAAGCCGGUCUCAGUUCGGAUCGGGGUCUGCAACUCGACCCCGUGAAGUCGGAGUCGCUAGUAAUCGCAGAUCAGCAACGCUGCGGUGAAUACGUUCCCGGGGCCU